ACUGAGACACGGCCCAGACUCCUACGGGAGGCAGCAGUGGGGAAUAUUGCGCAAUGGACGAAAGUCUGACGCAGCAACGCCGCGUGAGGGAACGAAGGCCCUUGGGUUGUAAACCUCUUUCAGCAGGGACGAAGCGAAAGUGACGGUACCUGCAGAAGAAGCACCGGCUAACUACGUGCCAGCAGCCGCGGUAAUACGUAGGGUGCAAGCGUUGUCCGGAUUUAUUGGGCGUAAAGGGCUCGUAGGCGGUCCGUCACGUCGGAAGUGAAAACCUAGAGCUUAACUCUGGGCCUGCUUUCGAUACGGGCGAACUUGAGUUCGGUAGGGGAGACUGGAAUUCCUGGUGUAGCGGUGGAAUGCGCAGAUAUCAGGAGGAACACCAAUGGCGAAGGCAGGUCUCUGGGCCGAUACUGACGCUGAGGAGCGAAAGCGUGGGGAGCGAACAGGAUUAGAUACCCUGGUAGUCCACGCCGUAAACGGUGGGUGCUAGGUGUGGGAGACUAUCUACGUUUUCCGCGCCGCAGCUAACGCAUUAAGCACCCCGCCUGGGGAGUACGGCCGCAAGGCUAAAACUCAAAUGAAUUGACGGGGGCCCGCACAAGCGGCGGAGCAUGCGGCUUAAUUCGAUGCAACGCGAAGAACCUUACCUAGGCUUGACAUAUACGGGAAGCAGGCAGAGAUGUCUGUGCCUUCGGGCUCGUAUACAGGUGGUGCAUGGCUGUCGUCAGCUCGUGUCGUGAGAUGUUGGGUUAAGUCCCGCAACGAGCGCAACCCUCGUCCUAUGUUGCCAUCGGGUAAUGCCGGGGACUCAUAGGAGACUGCCGGGGUCAACUCGGAGGAAGGUGGGGACGACGUCAAGUCAUCAUGCCCCUUACGUCUAGGGCUGCACGCAUGCUACAAUGGCCGGUACAAAGGGCUGCAAUACCGCAAGGUUGAGCGAAUCCCAAAAAGCCGGUCUCAGUUCGGAUUGGGGUCUGCAACUCGACCCCAUGAAGUCGGAGUCGCUAGUAAUCGCAGAUCAGCAACGCUGCGGUGAAUACGUUCCCGGGCCUUGUACACACCGCCCGUCACGUCACGAAAGUCGGUAACACCCGAAGCCGGUGGCCUAACCCGUAAGGGAGGGAGCUGUCGAAGGUGGGACUGGCGAUUGGGACGAAGUCGGAACAAGGUAGCCGUACCGGAAGGUGCGGCUG
rnacentral:rRNA from 1 species